GCCCCAUACUGGCUCAGUGGUGGAGCAUCUGCUAGGCAUGCAGAAGGCCCCAGGUUCAAUUGCCGCCAUCUCCA
rnacentral:tRNA from 1 species